rnacentral:tRNA from 1 species
ACUUAUCAUUAGUCUUUUAAUUUCAGUUCCUAAACUUGUCUAGGUCACCACCCAACAAACUUCUCCUGGGCUAUUAGCUCAGGCGGUUAGAGCGCACCCCUGAUAAGGGUGAGGUCCCUGGUUCAAGUCCAGGAUGGCCCAUUCGUUGUUGGGGGUAUAGCUCAGUUGGUAGAGCGCCUGCUUUGCAAGCAGGAUGUCAGCGGUUCGAGUCCGCUUACCUCCACUGAUCAACUACCUGAUAACUCAAAUUGGAGAUUGUUAUUUGUUAAAUGUGAUUUAGAUGUUGUUCAACUGAAGGAACCUAGCUUCCUAUCACUCCUGAAUUAACUUUAGGCUGAUAAGACGCUGGGCUCACUGGAUGUUCUAAGGGACAUUCAGUUUGUUUCAGCAGAACCUUGACAACUGCAUAGGAAAAUCUAGAAAAAUAAAGCAUCUCAUAGAUGCAUAGAAGUUUUUUCAUUUUUUAAUGAUUAGAUUUUUAUGUUCAAUUCUUGAGUCAGAGCAAAUUUUCUAUUACUUAAUUCACUUAGAGAUAAGUGAUGACUAAUUAAUUUUAGAUAAGUUUAUAGAUUAAUGGUCAAGCUACAA